rnacentral:rRNA from 1 species
GACGAACGCUGGCGGCGUGCUUAACACAUGCAAGUCGUACAGUAAGGCCCUUUCGGGGGUACACGAGUGGCGAACGGGUGAGUAACACGUGAGUAACCUGCCCACAACUUUGGGAUAACGCUAGGAAACUGGUGCUAAUACUGGAUAUGUGCUCCUGCUGCAUGGUGGGGGUUGGAAAGCUCCGGCGGUUGUGGAUGGACUCGCGGCCUAUCAGCUUGUUGGUGGGGUAGUGGCCUACCAAGGCGGCGACGGGUAGCCGGCCUGAGAGGGUGACCGGCCACAUUGGGACUGAGAUACGGCCCAGACUCCUACGGGAGGCAGCAGUGGGGAAUAUUGCACAAUGGGCGCAAGCCUGAUGCAGCAACGCCGCGUGCGGGAUGACGGCCUUCGGGUUGUAAACCGCUUUCAGCAGGGACGAAGCUUUUUGUGACGGUACCUGCAGAAGAAGCACCGGCUAACUACGUG